rnacentral:lncRNA from 1 species
GGGGAUUGUUACUAAGUCUCUUUCAAAAACCAGGACAACGCGUUCCUAACCAAAGCGGUCCUAGGUUUAAAAGCCUUAAGCCCGAAGUUGCUCCUCUCGCUAGGGAGAAGGCACGCUGGCGCGGGCACGCACACGCGGACACACACACACACACACACACACACACACACACGCGCGCGCCCGCGCGCCCGUCCACACCCCCUUCCGUGUGACUCGCCUUCGGGAUUUAUGGGCUUCGCCACCACGGAUUACUCUCAGGUGCAGAAGCAGAGACAGCCCUGGAGCAGGGGCCCAGAGAGAGCGAAUCGGCGGCCUGGGACCGUCGAGGCAAGGAGGACUCCUCGGACAGGGCGCAUUCUCGGCGUGCUAGUGCAGCGAGGCUUUAGGCAGAGCCGGAGCCUCCCAGCCACCUCCGCAGAAAAACCCGGGCCCAGGCCCCUCUGUCCUCCCCUAGCGAGCGGGCGCAGUGCGCUUUGCUUUGCUGUCCCCCCCUCCCCCCCCGCAAGGCCCGCGGCCGAGCUCCGGCCACCUGCAGCGCAGCCAGCCGCAGUCUUGGCCCCUUCUAGGACCUGGAGCUGGAUGAGCAGCAGCCUGGGCGAAGAAUUUAAGGGGGUGGGGCGCGCCGAAAGGUCAACAAUCACAAUAAGUAUCUUACUGCAAUGCUUUAAAAAAUUAAUACAAAAACCCCAUAAUGAACAUGUUAAAUUUUAUAAAUAAAAACAGGACCAUUGCAUGCCUUACUGAUAUAUUUUGAGACCGCAGGCAAAAAGAAUCCCCACGGACAAGCGGCGCCCAGCACAGACGACCGGACCUGGCUGAGUGCCGGGGCCCUGGGAGGGGAGCUUAUGUAGAAGGCCUCGGAAGUGGAGCCCCCGCCAAACCCCCACUGGGGAGCGGACGGGCGGCCCCGCGGCUGGAGGUGAGCGCUGCUCAGAGCCUCUCCUCCUGGAACAAAGGCGGAGAGGAAGGAGCCAGGGCAGGGCCGCGCUGGGGCGGGAGAGACCCGGCGGGCUUGGCGGCUCUCGUGGCCUCUCUCGGCCUUCCACGCGCGACCUGAAACGGAAUAUCCGACCCCGCCGCCACGGAGGCCGCCAGCGAGUCCUGUGCUUCCCUCGCUCC